AAUAGAUACCCGGGUAGUCCACGCCGUAAACGAUGUCGACUUGGAGGUUGUUCCCUUGAGGAGUGGCUUCCGGAGCUAACGCGUUAAGUCGACCGCCUGGGGAGUACGGCCGCAAGGUUAAAACUCAAAUGAAUUGACGGGGGCCCGCACAAGCGGUGGAGCAUGUGGUUUAAUUCGAUGCAACGCGAAGAACCUUACCUACUCUUGACAUCCAGAGAACUUAGCAGAGAUGCUUUGGUGCCUUCGGGAACUCUGAGACAGGUGCUGCAUGGCUGUCGUCAGCUCGUGUUGUGAAUGUUGGGUUAAGUCCCGCAACGAGCGCAACCCUUAUCCUUUGUUGCCAGCGGUUAGGCCGGGAACUCAAAGGAGACUGCCAGUGAUAAACUGGAGGAAGGUGGGGAUGACGUCAAGUCAUCAUGGCCCUUACGAGUAGGGCUACACACGUGCUACAAUGGCGCAUACAAAGAGAAGCGACCUCGCGAGAGCAAGCGGACCUCAUAAAGUGCGUCGUAGUCCGGAUUGGAGU
rnacentral:rRNA from 1 species